GAUGAAGAACGUAGCGAAAUGCGAUAAGUAAUGUGAAUUGCAGAAUUCAGUGAAUCAUCGAAUCUUUGAACGCACCUUGCACCCUUUGGCAUUCCGAAGGGUAUGCUCGUUUGAGUGUCAUUGUACUCUCACACUUCCGAUCUUUGGAUUGGGAGCGGUGGACUUGGGUGUUGCUGCUUACUGUGGCUCACCUCAAAUCGAUUCGUGCACCUCUUGGUUGGACAUAGUACGGCGUGAUAAGUGUCUUCGCCGGCACCUCAGUAGAGGGUGGCUGAUCGGGAGCUCUGCUUCCAACCGUCCUCGGACAACAACUGACAACUUGACCUCAAAUCGAGUAGGACUACCCGCUGAACUUAAGCAUAUCAAUAAGCGGAGGA
rnacentral:misc_RNA from 1 species